rnacentral:SRP_RNA from 1 species
GCUGGGUGCGGUGGCAUGUGCCUGUAGUCCCAGCUACUCAGGAGGCUGAGGUGGGAGGAUCGCUUGAGCCCCAGAGUUCUGGGCUGUAGCGCGCUAUGCCAAUCGGGUGUCCGCAGUAAGUUCGGCAUCAAUAUGGUGACCUCCUGGGAGUGGGGGACCACCGGGUUGCCUAAGGAGGGGUGAACCAGCCCAGGUCGGAAACGGAGCAGGUCAAAACUCCCGUGCUGAUCGAUAGUGGGAUCUUGCCUGUGAAUAGCCACUGCACUCCAGCCUGGGCAACAUAGCGAGACCCUGUCUCU